rnacentral:lncRNA from 10 species
AUUUUCAUAGUCACCAACUCAGUAAGAUGAUGGGAAAGAAAGAGAGGCAGUAUUUGAUGGGUCUGAAUGAAAAUCUGAUGAAACAGAUGUUACUUGAAGCUGAGUGACUUUCUCAGGGUCAAGCAAAUAAGUAAAUGGAGGAGCCAGAAUUAUACCCCAGGAUCCCCAUCACAAGGAGGGGAGGGCUACCAUCCCAGCUGCAAACUCUCAUUCAAGGUUUAUGCUGCAGCCAGCAGUGUCCUUGGAGUCUAGUUCAAAGCUGAAGAGAGUGAACCAUGGAACUGGGAGCCAUUGGCGGAGAGGCUGGCCUGAAGGAAGGGAAGUGUUUCAGCCAGAAUGUACUGACGCACAACCAGGAAACCACAAGACUGGUGAGAACCUUUCCAAAACUGAGCUUUAUGAUCAAAAGAGGUACAGGAAACAGCUCUGCCAAGAGUCCUUUCUGCUCCUGGCUGGAACCCUGAGCUUCUGAGGCUCUCUGAGUCAACUCUCUGAACAGAUGCUGUCACCCAAGGAACCAUCACUAAAGCAUUUUUUUGCUUUGCUCUGAGGUGGCCUCACUGGUGGGUGCAAGUGAGUUACUGUCUCUUUUUCUCUUUCUUGUUUCUUUCUUUUGACAGAAGUUGCCAUGUGAUUACUCAAUUCUGAAUUUUAGAGGCCAUAGGUUACUGCAUUUAUGCCCUUUGCCAACUGACUAUUGUUUGGUGCUGGGCCUGCAUACAAACACGACAUCCCCAAACUCUUAUCAAUACCUAGAUCACCUGAUGUGAAUCUAUCAAUACCCUGGACUUAACAGGGUAUUGAAGGAAAGAGAACCGGCAAUUCCUUCAUUUCUUACAUCCCAGCCAGUAGUCCUUCUCCCAGGCUAGUCUUCCUUUUGUUUCCCCUAAGAAUGACUCAACUAGGAAUUGCAUUCUGAUCCCUGUCACAGAUAUAAAUCUUGUCUGGAUACAAGGUCAAAAUAAUUGUGUUCCUGUGGAUUCUUUUUCUUUUUUCAACCAGAGUAACUACCAGUUGCCAUGAAAUAAAUCACAUCAUCAUAUGGCAGAUCCAGCUAAUAGCUGAGACUGGCAGGAUAACUGAACCGUGUACUCAGAGCUAAAUGAUGGAGAAAUUGGACUGGCCAUGGAGCACUUCAAAUUGAUUGCUUAGUAAUGGGAUAUUUUUCCUGGAAAGACAACAGAAUACUUCUGAAUUGUUGGUUCUGUCAUGGGUACAGGCUCCCAUGUACAGGAAAAUAAAGAAAGUGUGAUGAAUUUUUCAUCUGGCCUUCUGCCUACUUUCUUGCUUUCUGCAUGUCUCCAUUUUUAGUCUGUAAGCCCUGCCUAGAUGACCAAUCACUAUUGCCCAUGUGGCAUAAAACCUACAAUUUAACUAUACUUCUUACCAAACUCUCAGCAAGUAUGAGGUAGCCAACAGCCUUUUCAAGAUAAUGACUGAGUCUUAGCUUAGGUUUCAGUCAUUUUAGGAAACAUAAAAAAUUCAAUGGUGGGAGAUCAUACACACUCUGCAAAGAUGUCAGAAGUCAAGUUUUGGGAGAGUCCACACACAAACUGAGCAGUGAUGGUAAAAUAUAUUUUUGAAAUAUUUCUCCUCUGUGACUGUUAUGUGAAGUAGAGCAAACACAUUGUGCUGCAGUGCUCUUUGGGACAUGCCUUUUUUGGGAAGUGCUAACUUUAUACUCUGCUGACACCAAACAUUUGAAUAUAAAACCUUAUUUUUUUCUCUCACUCUGCUCCACUUUUGGCUCAGCUUAUUCUACCAAAACACACUUCAAAAGACUUCUUUAUAGAAAGAAUGUUUCAAAAAUAUAAUAUUUCCAUCUGUUAUUUCAAUAAUACAUGCUCUGGGACUCUCUUUAUGAACCACUUUCCUUUCUUUGCUCCCAUUUAGAUGUAUAAAUAUUUGAUUGUAAAGCUCUAAGGAAUAGUCAGCCAAUCGGGUCACUGAAUUGUGAACAUUCCUAACCCUAUAAUUUUGUCUGUAGCAGGCACCUCCUGCUGUGGAACUAACUGCUAAGGGAUUAUAGCAAUGUAAUCCUCAGACUGUUCCAUCUCAAGGUUACUCUGAAGUGGAGGGAAGGAAGCCGUUUUAAUUUUGAUAAAAUAAACUUUAUUUUGUAACUUU